GCAGCUUGCAGAAGGGCUCGUCUUAGAAAAGAAGUCAUGUCCUUUAGGUGACCCGACCCAAGCGUACGAUGAACAUUUGGGUUAGUUAGAAGCCAUAAGAACUAAAUAUGGAUUAAGGCAUCAGCAAUACGAAGAGAGGCCAGAAACUACCAUCUUCCGACAAGUUAAGUUGCGGCAGGUGCUUUUCGAUACAUAUCAGGUCCGCGAAUCAAAUUGUAGUUUAACUCAUAAAAUGUCAAACUACAAAUGUUUGUCAUCCCCGCCACAACACGCGGGUUGAAAGCACUAGUUACUACUGUUUUAAUAUGGUGAUAUAAACAAACUGCUAUGUAAUUUUUUGUUGUUUGAAUGUCAAUUACUGUUUAAUUCUUUGUA